UACGAAGGGGGCUAGCGUUGUUCGGAAUCACUGGGCGUAAAGCGUACGUAGGCGGAUUGUUAAGUCAGGGGUGAAAGCCCGAGGCUCAACCUCGGAACUGCCUUUGAUACUGGCAAUCUUGAGUCCGGGAGAGGUGAGUGGAACUCCUAGUGUAGAGGUGAAAUUCGUAGAUAUUAGGAAGAACACCAGUGGCGAAGGCGGCUCACUGGCCCGGAACUGACGCUGAUGUACGAAAGCGUGGGGAGCAAACAGG
rnacentral:rRNA from 1 species